UACGGGGGGAGCAAGCGUUGUUCGGAUUUACUGGGCGUAAAGGGCGCGUAGGCGGUCAGCACAAGUCAGUUGUGAAAUCUCCGGGCUUAACUCGGAAAGGUCAACUGAUACUGUGCGACUAGAGUGCAGAAGGGGCAACUGGAAUUCUCGGUGUAGCGGUGAAAUGCGUAGAUAUCGAGAGGAACACCUGCGGCGAAGGCGGGUUGCUGGGCUGACACUGACGCUGAUGCACGAAAGCCAGGGGAGCGAACGGG
rnacentral:rRNA from 1 species